GAGAGUAUAGCCCAAGUGGUAGAGCUCAUGCCUAGCAUGUGUAGGUCCUGGGUUCAAUCCCCAGUACCUCCU
rnacentral:tRNA from 1 species